rnacentral:rRNA from 1 species
CCCUUAGAUGUUCUGGGCCGCACGCGUGCUACACUGAUGCAUUCAACGAGUUUCUUCCUGGUCCGAGAGGAAUGGGUAACCUUUUGAAAGUGCAUCGUGAUAGGGAUAGACUAUUGCAAUUAUUGGUCUUCAACGAGGAAUUCCUAGUAGACGUAGUUCAUCAGACUGCAUCGAUUACGUCCCUGCCCUUUGUACACACCGCCCGUCGCUCCUACCGAUUGAAUGCUCAGGUGAGCCAUUCGGACCUUCAUCAUGCCGGUUUCCGGUUUUGAUGAGGGAAAGUCUUGCGAACCUUAUCAUUUAGAGGAAGGAGAAGUCGUAACA